GCGCCCGUAGCUCAACCGGAUAGAGCACCGGCCUUCUAAGCCGGGGGUUACAGAUUCGAUCUCUGUCGGGCGCACCA
rnacentral:tRNA from 1 species